rnacentral:misc_RNA from 1 species
AAAUUUCAUCCAUCAUUUGUGUUUCAUAAUCAAUAGCUUUUCCAAAUUAAAGUAUGAAUAUAAUUAAGUGGGUUUGCCUAGUUCUGGAUAUCUGUGCUUUUGAUCUUUCCAUUAUGCCAAUAACUCUGAAAAUCUGUGGGACAGUUUUGUUUCACAUUUUAGGGUUUUGAGGGAACGAGAGCCAGCUUCUGUGCAGCAGCUUAUAUAAUUUAUGGCUUCAGCCCAGUGUCCA